UAUAACUUUUCAAACAGUGGACUCACUCUCUACUGUUGAGCUUCUCCCCAGUUACUAAAAUCAUCCCUUGUGUUGUUUUCAACAAGGUAAUCCACAUCAUCCAUACUAGUCCGAGUAUGCUACUCCUUCAAACUCCAUCAAACGAUCGCUCGAGAAUUGCCUUAGGCUGGUAUAAAGAGUUUCAAUGAUUUCUGAAUCAAAGGUAAUUCCUUUUGCCACUUAAGGGUAUAAUUCUACGAGUCACCUUUCCUAAGGUGCCCCAGUAUGGUAUCAUGGCAACUCAACUCCUCGCUACGUUGACAACCGUUCACCACCUUCUUAAGUGUGGAAUUAUUGUCUACCUAGUGAACCCUCGUCAUAUGUUCCACUCCAUCCCUCUAGAUGUGUGCUUAGUGUCCCAACUCGAGAGAUGUUGCUAUGUCUCACUCUGUCAGUUGAUCCUAAGUUGAUUGAUCUUCGAGAAGAUCGAUCCUUCUAGAGUUUCCUUCUCCUCUCGUUGUCAUGUUAGAUGGAGAUCUCAGAGCAAGACAUCGAGACAAAGAUGGUGAUUGAAUCAACGUUCUUAUGAAGUACAACCUGGAUCGUGAAGAUUAUACUAGUUUGCGCUCCCCCUUCAUCUUACCCUACGCUUGAAUCUCAGGACGAGAUUCUUGUUUAGUGGGGGUGAGUUGUCACAGCCCUAGCUUUGGCCUUGCUUGUCAUUACAUUAUCAUCUUGCAUCACGUUUAAAUUUCUCAGAAACUUGAAAUGGGGGUGUUCAAACCCUAGCACCAAAUGAAAUGCAACUAGGAUCAAAAUAAAAAUAUUUUCAAUGAACCUGAAAUACCCUUCUAAAAUGUCCAUCAUUUUUGUCCUGGGUUAGAACCUCUCGCAAAAUUGGUUCACAUUUUUCGAGGACAACAUUAGGUCACUGAAUUAAAUCAUACCUUAUUUGCAUUUGGGCAUUUAAAUUUAAUAUAUUAUAUUAAAUGUCCAAAUAUUCAUGAAAUGAAAUUCUUGUUAUUGGAAAUAAUCCAAAUAGUGGCCACAAGCAGUCUCACGAUUUUUGGAAGUCCAUAGGUAUUAUUAAUAAAGCCCUUAAAAUUUACAGAAUAAUAGAAAACUGAAAUAAAUAGAAAAAGGAGAGAGAGAAAGGAUCCAGCCACUUACCUGGCGCAGCCCACCUGGCAGCCCACUGGCCGGCCCAGCACUAUGCUGGCCCGUGCCAGUCAUCGCCUACCUCUGCCAAUAGGCAGAGGAGGGACACGGCGCACGCGCCCGAGCUCGCCAUGCCACCACCCUCCUCGUCUGCAUCACCUGGUCACCGCUUCGACGCCGCGAACGCCUCCCCGGUGUCGCCCCGGUCCAUCCGACACCUCAUUCUCCCCCCUGCUCUCUCCCUCGCUUCCUCAACGCCAUGGCCGACGCAGCCGCGUCCGGGCCGACGAGCACCACCGCGGCCAUCGUCCACCGCCUCACCUCUUCGACGGGGCCCGAGCUCCGCCGUGCCUCCCUCGUCCUCCACGACGGCUCACGCAACCGGAAGAGCCCCGAAGCGCCACCCCGACGCUUCUCCCCUCCUCGGCCGCCGGAGAUCGGCCUCGCCGCCCCGCUCAGCUCCGGCCUCCCCCGAGCCCGCUGAGCAUCUCAUCGCGCCCUCCAUGAGCUCCUGCUCCUGCUUCCCCUCUCCGUUUUUCCCCUCGUGCACCAUAGCGACUGCACCGCGCUCACCCGCACGCGCCGCUGCAAACCUCGUCGCCGGCGCUACUCCGGCCACUCCCCGGCCGCGCCACCACCACGGUUGGAUGCGGACGAGCGUCCGCAUCCUGUAGUUGUGCUCCGCGCGGCAAACGGCGCUCCGUAGGCAAAACCCGCACCACCCCGCCGCGUCUAGCCUCGCCGGCGGCUAAACGCCGGCGAGUUUGACCCUAUUUGACCACGUUUUACCCCGUGUGGGCCCAGGUUGACUUCCCCCAUGAAUCUAUGACAGGUGGGGCCGGCCUGUUAAUUAGGUUGGGAUUAGUGUUAACUAAAUAUUAGUUAGACUAAUGACCUGACACGCGGGACCCACAGGUUAGAGUUGACCUGGACCGUGCCUUUGACUUGAUUACGUCACCCUGACGUCAUGCUGAUGCAAUAAUUAUUUACUGGAAUUAUUCUUAUUCAGGAAAUUUCAGAAAAUACCCCAAACUUCUAAAAAUCAUAUAAAUUCAACCAUAGCUCAGAAUGAGAUAAAUUAUAUAUGAAAAAUGAUCAGAAAAAUCCAAUCUAUCCAUAUGUACUGUUUUCAUGCAUGUUAGAACAACUUAUAGUUGCUGAAUUGGGCAAAACAAAUAAUGGCAUUUGAAUAUCCACAUAUGGAGUUUGAAUUUGAACCUAGGGUUCAAACCAACUUCAUUUAACCUGUUGCUAGCUGCAUUAGCUCAAAACACAGCAUAUUGCGAUGUCACAUUCAUGCAUCAUAUUGUUGCAUUGCAUUGAUUGUGUUUCCUCUGUGUUGCCGGUAUUUGUCCCCUCUCGAUAGACGUGGUUCCGACGAUUAUUCGAUGACACCGAUGGAGAACUAUAUUAUCUUCAGAAGUGCCAGGCAAGCAAAAUCCCCUUGUUCAUUUCGAUACAAUCCCACUCUCUCGCUCCUGCUCUCUUUUACUGCAUUAGGACAACAACAAUUCAACUGUUACUUGUUGCGGUAGCUGAACCCCUUUAUCCUCUGCAUGACCUAUCAUUGCCACAGUAAAUAGAUGAAACCCACUAGUAUGAGUAGGAGUUGUUUGAGCCCUGAUGUGCCUACUCAUUCAUGUUUGUUUGUCAUGCCUGCUACUGCUUAGAGUUGAGUCAGGUCUGAUUCAUCGGGGAUGAAUUGGAGGUGUGUAAAUAUGUCCUACUGUGUGUGAGCUAAGUGUGUGAACACACUUUGGUAAAGGUAGCGGUGAGAGGCCAUGUAGGAGUACAUGGUGGGUUGUCUCAUUGCAGCCGUCUUCGGGAACUGAGUUCUGUGUUUGUGAUCCAUGAACAGUUAUUACCACACAUUGGGCUCCGGGCGCUCCAAGCUCUCUCGACUUAUUAAUCAACUCGAUCUCUGUCCAGGAGUUGCAACUAGUUUCUGGUGUUUGUAGGUAGUGUUAGUAGUCUACCAAGUGGCACCCAGUACAGGUGGGCUUGGGACAGACUAGGCACCGUGGCAUGGUGUACCAAGCAUAGAUCCACCCGUCGAGGUAGGCUUGGGAACCCUACACACAUCGUUUGGGGCCGUGAGUGACACCCCGGCCGGAUCUCCUUGCAGAUGGAACCCGAAUAGGCGAUAAACCUGGACUAGAGACUUGUGUGGUUAGUCAGGUCGUGGCCGACUCCCUCGCCAGGCUUCCGCUUGAAGGUUGCCGAGAUACACGUCGUGUACAUGGCGGUAAGUGGCGAGAGCGUGUGUGAAGAAGUACACCCCUGCAGAGUUAAUAUGGUCUAUUCGAAUAGCCGUGUCCGUGGAAAAGGACUUCUGGGUUGCCUGUACAGUUCAUAGACAAGUGAAAGUGGAUACUCUAAAAUGCACAAGAUAAGCAUGAGUGCUAUGGAUGGCGUUCUCGUAGGGAGACGGGAGUGGAUCCAUAGUGGUGUAUUGAUAUGGUGAAUAUGUGGACUCGUUUGCGCCACCUCAAAAGAGUUACGUGCAGUCGUAGUUUAGGAUAGCCACCGAGUCAAAGCUGGCUUGCUGCAGUUAAACUCCACCACCCCCUUUGUUGAUAAUGAUGCAUAUGUAGUUAGUUCCGAUGUAAGUCUUGUUGGGUACAUUUGUACUCACGUUUGCCUAUUUUAUGUUUUUGCAGAGAGACUUCAGUCUCACUAGUAGUUCCUCGUGGACUUAGACGUUUAGCUUGUUACCUCAGCUACGAUCUUGUGCCCUCGGCAGGAUCUGGUAGGUAGUCAGGCUUCUCACCCUUUUCCAUUUGCAGGUGUCUGUACUCAGACAUGUUAAGCUUCCGCUUGUGCUUUGCCUUGUAUGCUCUGAAUGUUGGGUCAUGAGACCCAUGUUUGUAAUAUCUCGCUCCUCGGAGCCUAUUGAAUAAAUACUUGAGUUGUAGAGUCAUGUUGUGAUGCCAUGUUGUAUUUGCACAUAUCGAGCAUAUUGUGUGUAUGUUAUUGAAAUGCUUGGUAUGUGUGGGAUCUGACUAUCUAGUUGUUUAUCCUUAGUAGCCUCUCUUACCGGGAAAUGUCUCCUAGUGUUUCCACUGAGCCAUGGUAGCUUGCUACUGCUCCGGAACACUUAGGCUGGCCGGCAUGUGUCCUUCUUCGUUCCUGUGUCUGUCCCUUCGGGGAAAUGUCACGCGAUGAAUACUGGAGUCCUGUUAGCCCGCUACAGCCCGGUUCACCGGAGUCCUGUUAGCCCAGUGCUACAGCCUGGAUUCACUCGCUGAUGACCGACACGUUCGAUGCUGGGUCAUGGAUGCCUGUCCCUGUAAGUUUGUGCCACUUUGGGUUUACGACUGGCCAUGUCAGCUCGGGCUCCUUAUCAUAUGGAUGCUAGCGACACUAUCAUAUACGUGUGCCAAAAGGCACAAACGGUCCCGGGCAAAGGUAAGGCAACACCCGUGGGAAUACCGUGCGUGAGGCCACAAAGUGAUAUGAGGUGUUACAUGCUAAAUCGAUGUGGCAUUGAGUCGGGGUCCUGACAGCUUUGGUAUCAGAGCUUGACUGCCUGUAGGAUUACCAAGCCAAACUGGUCGAAGUUGAGUCUAGAAAUGCUUUAGUUACAUAAGGGAAUUGAUUGUGGUUGGGAACGUAAGGCUCUUUUUACUCCUUUACCUUAUGACCUUCUGAUCUGAGUCAUCCUAUCUUUCCUACGGGGCUAAGGAACUAGGCUUUCUCUUCUCUCUAUUAGGAUCACGUGUUACUAAUCCAUAGACUUAUAGAAUUGUUAGUUUCAAAUCCCAGUUCAACUUUUACUACUUCCGCAUCUUCAUAGUUGGUCUUAGAACCUUCAUAUUGUGAUAUUAAGUGGUUAUGCCACCAUUUUUCAGGAUGUCUCAAAUCAUUUUGAGCAUUUACAGCCGUUAUGCUGUCCGAGUCAUCCCAGGUUUCUAAAUAGUCUGAUGCAUUUGCAAAUCCUUUCUUUUCAUUCCCGAUGUCCUUUUGGUCAGAAUAAGCACACUGACUGGUGCGUUGAGGUACUCUAUUGCCUCAGCAUUUAUGUUGGAGCUAAUAUUAUGACCCUAGGUGUCUAGAGUAUCACCUAGUAAUUUAGCCAUGUUUUUGUUCCCAGUGUGAUGAUUCUGGCCAUUAUUCUCGGAAGCAUCCCGUGAUGCCAUUUAGUUAGUAGGUAUUCUACUUCUGGGUUUUGAACCCGAGACUCGCCCUACUUACUUCAUGAUUGAUAGUGUUUGCUCGUUCCUUUAGGUUAUUAGUAACCUUGUGAUAGUCCUCGAGGUCCGUGGUAUUUCCUUCUUCCAAAUACCAUGAACCAUUAAGGCAAAAGUUAUUUGAACCAAAAGAUGACAAUUAGAGUACUCUUGAGGAGUUCUCCAUUCAUAAUCGUGACUCUGCCAGUCCUACCUCUCUGCAUGCGUUAUCCGGAAGAAACAUGUAGAACUUGGUUUGACAUACUAAUCUAUGCAUCCACAACUCAGAAAAAUAUAUGUUCCUUUGAGUUGUCCCUCUUUAGUUGUUUUCUGGCCCUUGUCUAUCAAUUGACAGUCAGGAGUGGUUGUGCAUUCGUGUUCAUCGGUGCCUUUUACUCCUAUGGUUCGUCAAGACGUUCUAUUCGGAAUGACUAGGAGAAACAAACUCCAGUACCUCAUCCAUAUCUAGGAUUGGGUCAAAGUAGUCCUACUCCGCAGAUUAAAUGCUAAUCCAGCUUUUGUUCUGUUCCACCUUGGAGCGUUACCCUCUUUACGUCGGGAUUGUCAUGAGAAUUGCACCAUCUCUCAUGAAUUCCUGAUGCAGUGAUACUUCUCACCAUCAUCACUCAUUCCUCGGCCCUCGUGUUGUUGUAACCGGAAUGCCGACAAGUGAAUUGUGAUGUGUGAAAUCAAUACUCCGAGCAACUCGUUGCUUGGUAGUAGAUGGAUAGUAUUCUCAUUCUUUGCGUGUUGGAUAUUGAAUCAUCAAUUCUAAGAUAGGUUGUGCUACCUAGUCCUUAUUUCCUGGUGCACUCUUCGAUCAAUGAGUUGGGAUUGUGCCAAUCCCUCGCUUAUUUGAUCAUAUCGUCUUACCCUGAAAAGCAAGAUUGUUCUUGAGCUUACUAACAUAUCGGUGGUUCAUGAUUUUUGGAAUAUCUUCUCGGAAGUAUCACCAGGUCAUCACCUGACCGCUAUGUUGAGUUCGUGAUCAAGUUGGUUUAUUCCUGUAAACCACCCUUUCUCCAAGAAUCCGUGUUGGAUACCCCUGAGCUAGUUGGUUAAGCUAUACAUUCAACUUGGAGAGCUGGAAGAUAAAAGCUUGUCCGACUUAGUUCAUACUAAGGGAUAUCUUGUAUGUGUGUUCAAGAAAGAUGAUAUCUUCAUCGAUUGGUCCCUGUGAUCAGUUGUUGGACCUAUUAUCUUAUCAAAACCUUGAUUUGAGUGUGGGCCAUCGUCAAAUCAAGUUAGAACCAACAAUAUUCAUAAUGUUGUCUUACUCGUGGUUGAUCCCUCGAGCAUAGACCAUUAUAUCUUUUGGAUCUGACCAAUGCUAUCACCUGUUCACAUAAUUAUGGAAUUCCAUCUUCAUGGAAACCUGGAUGAGUUGUUGUUGAGCCCAUCGACAACAUCCUUAUCUCCUCCAUGAUUCGUGUUGAACAUCCAGCUAGUAUUGGAAACUUUUAUAAGCAUUAUCUUCAUGACCGCUCAUGGAGCAUAUGUCCGGAUGAAAGAAGUGACCUCCUCUAAUUCAUGUGCAUUUGAUGCAAGUUGCCGCUGUGAAUUCGAGAAAGUCAAUGUUGCCUCCUCUGGAACCAUCUCAAGUCAGUCAUGCAUGUGCGAAGUAUGCUAUGGUUUGAUAGGAUCGCUACCUCCAUUCUAUAUGUGUCCUUAGCACACUAAGCCACUGAUUGAUUUGUUCAAGGAGAAGGAGUUUCUUUUUAAGAGCUAACCCGGGCUUAAUCAAGGACUCCGUUAUCUUCAAUGAUGGUUCCCACCUGAACUCGGUAGUGUUUUGUUGUAAGACUACUAUGUGGUCAUGCUUGUCUGGGACAAUGUGUUCACAUGUUUGUAGCAGAACCAGCUCAUGUUUUGGAGCUUGCUAUCGUAGUUCAUUCCCUGAGAUUCUCGCAACGUCAUCUCGUCGAUUUGUGUUGCAAACUUUCAUUUUACUUUCUAGACUCGAUGAGUCUGAAUUAUUCUGACACCAACCAGAUCUGAAUCUCAGGCAGAUAUGAUGGUUGGAACAUUUCCCAAGAACUAUAAUAUCGGUCUCGUGAUAACCGGUAAAGUGGAUAUCGUGGCCAACACACCCCUCCGGAAGACCUAUUAUUGUAGUAUCUUGAUUGAAGAAGUUGGCCACCUCCCCAUAAGGACUUCGUAGGAUUUACCCCCUAGCUGUGCCUUAUGAUUUUUGUGUUUCUGAAGUCUGACCUUUACUUGAUGUUCUAGAUACCAGACCAUUUCAGUGAAUGGGAUACGCUAGUACAUCAAGGAGAACAUUAGAAGCAGAGUGCUAAAUGUCUCUCGGUCGAUCAUCCAGAUUUCGUCCCCUUGGCCUCGCUAAGGUGAAAUCUGAGGAAGUGUUAUCCUCCUUUGCAUCUGCAUCGUCCAUCGCUAUUCAUCAUGGUAGUAUGUUGUGUUGUCAGCACCCUUGACAUGGAUGUGGGUAAAACCUUGAUGAUUAUGGAAAUGCUCAAGUUCUUGAGAGCACGCACAAGCGUUAGGUGUUACCAUCGGCACUAACUGGGAUUGCUCUCAGUUUCCUCGAUUAUGCUAUAACUUUUCAAACAGUGGACUCACUCUCUACUGUUGAGCUUCUCCCCAGUUACUAAAAUCAUCCCUUGUGUUGUUUUCAACAAGGUAAUCCACAUCAUCCAUACUAGUCCGAGUAUGCUACUCCUUCGAACUCCAUCAAACGAUCGCUCGAGAAUUGCCUUAGGCUGGUAUAAAGAGUUUCAAUGAUCUCUGAAUCAAAGGUAAUUCUUUUUGC
rnacentral:lncRNA from 1 species